GUCAGAAACACAAACAUGUAUUCCUGACCCUAUAGGGUUACAACCACCAUCUAGCCACCCUGGUCCCCUCAUGCCUCCCUAAAUUAGUAAAAUCUUUCUUUUACUCAAGUCUGCAGCUGCAUAAUUUGUCACUGUUUCCUUGGACCCGCCCACUGCCUGCUGACAUCAGCAAAAGUGCUAGCCUAAUCCAAUCACAAUGCUUCCCCAUAGGAUUGGCUGAGACUAACAAGGAGGCAGAUCAGGGGCAGAACUAGCACAAUUCAAACACAGCCCUGGCCAAUCAGCAUCUCCUCAUAGAGUUGAAUUAAAUCAAGUUCAGUGUCUGCAUGCAGAGGGAGGAGAUACUGAAUGUCUGGAUGCAUUUUAGGCAGCUAUGACCCAGGAAGGAUCUCUAGCAGUUAUCCGAGGAGACAGUGUUUACAGCAAAAAGCCUGAAGGUGGUGAUUCUACUCACCAGAACAAAUUAAAUAAGCUGUAGUUGUUCUGGUGACUAUAGUGUCCCUUUAAAUUAUCUUUGAUGCAAAUAUACAUUUCUAAUGUUAAUUUGUUUAUGUUUAUUUCUAACUAGGUACGGAGCUCUGUUCUGACAUGUCACGUUUGUAUCAUAUGUUCCUCUUUCCAUUAAUGUUGAAAACCUCACCUUUGUCCUCAACGGAUUACAUUGUUGUAGAG